CUCUUCUCUCCUUGCAUUAGACAGGAGUUCAUGGACGGAUCUUUUCGCUAGACCAGGGGAAGCCACUGCCUGGACUUGUUGUGGUCAAGGGAAUCAACUAUACGGUUAAAGCCCAUCAAGCGUACGCAGACUACCACCGGUUGCUCGAACCUGGACAGAUAUAUGAAGUCACAGCGUCGUCUCCUGGAUACAAACCGAAAACGACAAGCGUUUGGUUAGGCGAAAACGCUGUCACAGAGGCAAACUUCUGAGGAGCAGCUGUGACUGUAGUAGCUACGGGCAGCCGCUUCUUCUAAUGCGCUUUUUCACCGAGACUAAUAACGGAAUCACGUUUGCGCUUGUGGUGGUUAUAGCUUUCCUGUUCUUUUUGUUGCAAAUAAGAGUGAGAUCUAACCUGUGGAAGCAAAGACAAUCCUCUAGGAGAUCAACAA